GUGCUCGCCUGGGCAGCACAUAUACUAAAAUUGGAAUAUACAGAGAAUAUUAGCAUGGCCCCUGCACAAGGAUGACAUGCAAAUUCAUGAAGUGUUCCAUAUUUUU
rnacentral:snRNA from 1 species